GCCGCCACCUCCCGCGCACACGCGCCCUGCUUCAUCCUUGCCUCGCCUGCAGCUCCUCUCCUCUGCGCCGCCACCGCCCGUCCUCCUCCUCUCCUCUGCGCCGCCGCCGCCCAACCUCCUCCUCUCCUCUGCGCCGCCGCCGCCCGUCCUCCUCCCCUCACAUCGCGCCCGCACGGCCCUGCUACGCCGCUGUCUCUGUUGCCGUCUGACCUAGAUGCGGCUAGAGUUCGUCGGCGCCGCACACGGAGGAGACGGGGCGAGGAGGAGCACGAGCCACCGCAACCACCUACCCGACGGUGCUGUCAUGGUUGUCGUCGUUGUGACCUACAGGAGAUAGAGAGAGGGAUUUGGAAAAAGGAGACGGGAGCAAGAUGAGAAGACGAAGAAGAAGCACUGCCACCUCCGUCCCCAUCCACUGCUGGGCUCUGCUUUUCAUCCCAAACUUUUCACCUCCACGCCCCUGCAAAUUUCUCCAUCCCUUUCUUACAGAUUCUUUUGGUGUAUGCCUACAAGUUGUUUGAUGAAAUUUCAAGCAGGAAGGUAUGCAUGGUAAUGUUAAAGAGGCCCCUUAUGCUCAUGCAGGUUUGUGGGUGAUUCCCUGUUGGGUUUUCCUGUGGUAGAUUCUCUGUUGGUGAAGACUGUGGUGCAAUACUUCCUGGAGACAUAUGGUUUCAAUAUUCAGCACACUACAUUACCCUGUUACUUUUUGUGUAGAAAUAAUAGGUUAUAUCUUCUGCUUUCUACCAUAAGAAAUGAUAAAUCAAGGUGGAUAAUAACAGGUUAUAUCACAAUAGUGAUCAAAGGGAAGAGAAGUACUUUUGCAAGUCAUGCGUGGAAUUUUAUCAGACAAAUUUAUAUUCUUCAGAUGUGUAAUCCUAUUUUUCUGAGAUAUAUGUAUUUCUUCUUGCUCAUUCUUUUGGGCUUAGGGGCAGUAGAAUAAUCAGAAUAUACCUGAAGUGUUUGUACCAUCUGCAUACACUUUAGCUCAGAAUAAUAAUGUGCUUCCUCUUACUUGCUCUGCUUUAAUAAUGUACAUACAUCAGUUUUGAUAUAUAUAUAAUUGGUAGCAGAUAAACAAUAUUAGUUUUCCAGUGAAUGAUUUUAGAUUCUUCCAUGAAAGCAUCUCCCCCCUUUUUGCGAUUUCCGUUUCAUGAAAUGAGUUACGAUGACUGUCGUGAUAUGUUUCUUCUCUGAAUAUUUAUUACCAUGAACUCGAGUAUCCGGUGUGUGUAGUUGUAUACCUCCUUUUUAGAAUUGGAUGAACACCCAUAGUUCAGUUUGGGCUCAUGCAGUGUGUGUUUUCUCGAAUGCUUACUCUUGAUGCUUCGUGUGAUUCAACAUCGAUAAUUUCUUUUACUUAGUUUUUAUGCAUUUUAUGUAUUGUUUGUUGUCGAAUAGAUUCUGAACCGAUGUACAUGAACAAAAAUAGAUGAUAAUGUAUCGAUAAAUUCCAAUUAUUUAUGCAUGAUCAUUUUGCUAGGCGACAAAGGAAAAACCUGAAACUAAUUUCCGUUUAACAUAAACUCUAAUAUCUAUACUGUACAUACAUUUUAGACAUGUAUAUUUGUUCACCAACUAUUUAUUUUCUAUUGAAAUGAAUGGUAAUACUUGAUUUUCAAUUUCCUAAAUCUAUAUUAUUCUUCUGUUGAUAAAAAUAAUAUUGGGGCACACCACAUACUAAUUCACUCAGUUUAGGUCUGUUUCCUUUGAGAUUCACAAACAAGUGAUGUAGAAUUGAUCCGAAUUUUAAACAGACCUACACUUGAGUUUAUGACUGCUUUUUAUGUAUUAUAUUCUUUUACAGGAAUGCAUCCAUAAUCUUGGUAUAAAAUUUAUCUCGAUGGCUCAGAACCUUCAAAUGGCAUGGAAAAACCGUCGCCCAAAUGCAUAUGGAGUACUCAAGCUGAACAAGCCAAUUGGAUGGUAGAAUAUGCUAUCAGGCUUAAAGUUUAUAUUGAGGUUUGAAGAGAAAAUAUAGAAAAGUAAGGGCCGAAGGUAAAUAGAAAUAUAGAAUACUGAAAUGUGUUUAACUAAACAUCAAGCAUUCAUUUGUGCACUUCCUCAUCUAAAAUAAUCAUAUCAGUUCUAUUAUCCUUUAUCUCACAUUCUCACAAGUGCACUGUGCCAGUCAGUGGUCCUGCUAUCUGAACUUCAUUGCUCUUAUUUUGGUUCAUUUCUUUGCAACAUUUUAUUCCUAUUGUAGCCUUCAAUCAGUUUUAGCCUUUUGAAUCAUUCUGUAUGUUUAGCCUUUAAUCAGUUUGCAUUUCCCCCUUAUUUUGAUACAUUGCUCUACAACAGUUUAUUCUUAUUGUGUUACAGGUACUUCAAUUGUAAGUGCAUGCUUACGGAGUUCUAUCAUGCACAAUCAUGUGUGCACAUCGGUCUAUCCAGAAGAUUAGCUCGCGACCCUCUCCGCCGGCUCCCCGGGGGUCGCAUCCGGCUUGCCGCAAGUACACCUACGCCGCCGCCUCCCCGGGGGCCGCAAGGUGAAGUGGACGACCGGGGAGAAGGCAUGUGGCGGGGGGCAGGCUCUCAAGUGGGAGACAGAGCUCGCCUCCCCCAACGACGACAACUUCGACCUCAAGUGGAAGUGGGAGGCCAAGUCCAAGCCUGGCGCCGUUGGCAGGCCAAAACCAAGUGGGGCACUGAGGAAGCCAACAAGGAUGACAAGAAGAAGCCGGCGAGGAAGUGUGUCCAGAGCAAGGAGAUCCCCGUUGGCUGGACGUCCAGAUCGAGACUUCAUUUGAUAGACGCAAUAAUAGGAACUGGCUUCUAUGGUGUACGAGACAAGCUCAAGCACUACAAGGACACAAUGGGCAUUUUCUAAUGAGUUGUGGAAAUAGGGCAUACCAUUAAGUAUUAGAACCACAUCAGAAGGUAAUGAUGGGGCAAAACUUCUCUAGGAAAGGACUUGCCAUCCCCUUCCAAUACAACUCGGCGUCACCGGGUAAGACGCUGAUACAUUACAAGGCAGAUCUCAGCUGAACUCUCCCUCCCCGCCCUGGAGUCCAAGCGUUUGUGGCCUACAUCCGUGAGCUCCAUGUCUCCGUCCCUCCACCGAGCAGCGGCACACACACAAGGGGAUCAAGCCCAACCAAAUGGACGAUGCUCCUUCCUGCCACACCCAUGUGUCCCGUUCAGUGGAUUACAGGUUGCAUGUAUGAAUAUCCAAGUGGGAUGCUUGAUCUAUUUACUGAAACAAGACGUGUUUAUAUAUGUCAAAAUGUCUGUUGGAGAGGCACGAAAGCGCAAAGGUCGUGAUGUGUAAGGAUUUAAUCAAGGAGACAACCCGGUAGAGCUAUCAAGUGUUAGGGUAUAGCCUAACUAAGUAGGUUUAUUAUCUCCCAUUGCAUCUCUCUUGAUCAAGACAUGCCAUGACCUGGUUUAUUGUAUUUGUUAUGUUAUAAUGGAUUGUCUUGGCUUGCUUUUGGACUAAAGCCUUUUGUAGUUGUCUGGAUCAAUUGCUAUGUACUGGAUGUGUAUGUAUCGAUGCAAUGCUUCUGAUAUAAACUUGAUAUAUUAGAUUGGUAAA